AGAUGGACCCCGCGCCGUAUUAGCUAGUUGGUAAGGUAACGGCUUACCAAGGCGACGAUACGUAGCCGACCUGAGAGGGUGAUCGGCCACACUGGAACUGAGACACGGUCCAGACUCCUACGGGAGGCAGCAGUAGGGAAUCUUCCGCAAUGGGCGAAAGCCUGACGGAGCAACGCCGCGUGAGUGAUGAAGGUCUUCGGAUCGUAAAACUCUGUUGUUAGGGAAGAACAAAUUUGUUAGUAACUGAACAAGUCUUGACGGUACCUAACCAGAAAGCCACGGCUAACUACGUGCCAGCAGCCGCGGUAAUACGUAGGUGGCAAGCGUUAUCCGGAAUUAUUGGGCGUAAAGCGCGCGUAGGCGGUUUCUUAAGUCUGAUGUGAAAGCCCACGGCUCAACCGUGGAGGGUCAUUGGAAACUGGGAAACUUGAGUGCAGAAGAGGAGAGUGGAAUUCCAUGUGUAGCGGUGAAAUGCGCAGAGAUAUGGAGGAACACCAGUGGCGAAGGCGGCUCUCUGGUCUGUAACUGACGCUGAUGUGCGAAAGCGUGGGGAUCAAACAGGAUUAGAUACCCUGGUAGUCCACGCCGUAAACGAUGAGUGCUAAGUGUUAGGGGGUUUCCGCCCCUUAGUGCUGCAGCUAACGCA
rnacentral:rRNA from 1 species